CUCACAAGUUGCUGGAAUUAUAGACAUUAACCAUUAUGCCCAACUAGUUUCUGUUUUUUUUUUAAUGAUUUAAUUGAGAUACAGGAGAUCAAGUGGCUUUUCAGGAUCAUUUGGCUGAUGACCAUUGGAACUAAUGUGAACCCAGUCGCCCUGACUCUGUGCACUGAUAUUUUUAGCAUUACAUUUUGCUUCUCCCAAGCUUCUUGCAUUGUCUCUUUUUCUUUGCAUUUCCUUCUGUCAUAAGCAGCUCUGCUCUCUUUCCUGAUGAGACCUCAUCCACUUACUAACUUGCAGAAUUGGACUCAUACUCAAACACUGGUGCUGCACACGUAAGUAGAAAGCAGAUUUUGCUCACCACAUCCUAGAACCCUUGUGUGCUUACCUCUUUCUGCUCUGUCUCUUUGAGUCAAUUCUCCCUGGCAACAUUGUAAAUAUUCUGAUGGCAGUACUGCUUCUUACGGGUUUGUUAUCUACCAUGCUUAGCGCCAAGUCCAACAUAGGGUAGGUGCUUAGUGCUCAUUGAUGACUCAAUAAAUUAAUGACUUCAAUGAGCAUAGAAAAUGUCUUACUGGAACCCAGGGUCAGGCAUUUGGAAUCAAGGGGAGAUAGAAUAUGUUACCAAUGACCAAACAUUUUAGAAAGCCAAGCAUUCCUGUCGAAUGCAAUGGAUUUUAGUAUCACUAGCAGGAAAACCAGGUGACACUUGUUGCUAAUAUGCUGAUUGAUUUCAAGUAGGAACAAAUGUCCCACUCCAAGUACUUACUGGGGCUGGGAUUGCUGUCCCUGUGGGAAGAGGACAAUGUGUUCUUUGUGGUCUUUGAAGCAGAAAUAUGGGCUAUGUUGUAAAUCCUAUCAGAUUUUGAAUCAAUGCUUUCCCCUUCUUCUUAAGAUAAGCCAGAAGUUUCAUUCUCUGAAGAAAAGUGAGUAUGUGUCUUGUUUAUUGGGAGAACACAGGUCAUCUGAAAAGGCAACCAGUUUUCAAAUUAAAGAUGGUUAUCUUGUUUAUUGGAGAAAACAGGACCGUGAAGGCUGCCCAGAUUGGCAGGAAGUGCAGGACUCUCAGGUGGGGGGUGAAAUUACAGGCAUUAACCACUAUGCCCUGCUAGUUUCUGUUUUUUUUUUUUUUAAUGAUUUAAUUGAGAUACAGGAGAUCAAGUGGCUUUUCAAGAUCAUUUGGAUGGUGACCAUUGGAACUAAUGUGAAUUCAUCUUGGGAACCACCACUCAUCACUUAAUCUUUUAGAGGCUCACUCUUCAGCAGUCACUACCACGGAAUGAAAGUUUCUACCUCUGUGUCGGCCCUUCUUCCAUCUUGGAGUGUCUGGGUGGAACCAGCUGAACAGGAGGCAGUUGCAGGGUUUGGGUUUCCUAACCAGAAGAGGAAUCCCCUUGUUCCCUAUCCAAAGACUGCAGGAACUGAGCAGAACACAGAUGAUGCAGCUGACAAAGAAGGACAGUGCAGACCCAGGAGGAGGAGCAGGAGGGUUCAGCAUGGCUCGCCAGCUCCAGGCUGCUCCGUGAGAGCAGUCAGCAGUUUUAUGGGUGAUGUGGUAGAAGAAAAGAUGGCCGCCUUUUUAUCAGAAACCAAGAUAUUUGUUUAGCUUUAUAACCCAUAGAUUGUGUACAAAAAAAAAUAGGCAUUCAUUUCAAUUUUAAAGUAUAAAAUUAAGCAUUCUUUUAGAAAAUAUACCUGGGCCCAAACUGUUGAUUUUCUCUUUAAAUUUUUGAGCUAAAUAUGGUUAUUGGAUUCAUAGUGAUGAAGAAUUUGAUAGUAAAUAUAGUAAAUGUCCAGUUUUGUUGUAUUGCAUAAUAAAACGUAUAUAUUCUGACUUCAAAA